rnacentral:lncRNA from 1 species
GGCACUGUACAACCAUGGUAGAAUAUAUUUUGGAACCCUUUAGCAAAAGAUCUUGUUAACAAUCCUAAACUUAAUAUAAACAUUUUGUGCAACAUUUCUAGCAAAGUAAAAGUCAACUUGUAUGUCUUCAAAACCCGCUUCUUGAUUUGUAAACUUUAGCCUCCAAAACCUGUAAGAAUAUUCAAAAAAAUUUCCUUUAAUAAUAUUGUAAAUAUCACUAGAAAAUUAUAUUAAAUAAUUAAGUUUUUCAAUUUUACUCGAAUAAUAAUUUGACCUCUUACCCGAAAAAGUGUCCAAAUUCACCGUGUAAUAUAUAUCCACUUCAAAAAU